rnacentral:tRNA from 1 species
AGCUUUAUAGUCAGAUAUUGAUAUAAAAUUGCAAAUUUUAAGGGGUUAUAUAUAACUAAGGCUU